rnacentral:rRNA from 1 species
UUCCGGUUGAUCCCGCCAGAGGUCAUUGCUAUUGGAGUCCGAUUUAGCCAUGCUAGUUGCACGAGUUUAGACUCGUAGCAGAUAGCUCAGUAACACGUGGCCAAACUACCCUAUAGACGGCGAUAACCUCGGGAAACUGAGGCUAAUAGCCGAUACAGUUCACUGCCUGGAGUGGCGCGAACUGGAAACGUUCAGGCGCUAUAGGAUGUGGCUGCGGCCGAUUAGGUAGACGGUGGGGUAACGGCCCACCGUGCCUAUAAUCGGUACGGGUUGUGAGAGCAAGAGCCCGGAGACGGUAUCUGAGACAAGAUACCGGGCCCUACGGGGCGCAGCAGGCGCGAAACCUUUACACUGCACGAGAGUGCGAUAAGGGGACUCCAAGUGCGAGGGCAUAUAGUCCUCGCUUUUCUCGACCGUAAGGUGGUCGAAGAAUAAGUGCUGGGCAAGACCGGUGCCAGCCGCCGCGGUAAUACCGGCAGCACGAGUGAUGACCGCUAUUAUUGGGCCUAAAGCGUCCGUAGCUGGCCACGCAAGUCCAUCGGGAAAUCCGCGCGCUCAACGCGCGGGCGUCCGGUGGAAACUGUGUGGCUUGGGACCGGAAGAUCCAGAGGGUACGUCCGGGGUAGGAGUGAAAUCCCGUAAUCCUGGACGGACCACCGGUGGCGAAAGCGCUCUGGAAAGACGGAUCCGACGGUGAGGGACGAAAGCUCGGGUCACGAACCGGAUUAGAUACCCGGGUAGUCCGAGCUGUAAACGAUGUCUGCUAGGUGUGGCACAGGCUACGAGCCUGUGCUGUGCCGUAGGGAAGCCGUGAAGCAGACCGCCUGGGAAGUACGUCCGCAAGGAUGAAACUUAAAGGAAUUGCGGGGG